CUGCUUCUCAAGAAAAAAAAGAAGAAGAAGAAGAUCUUGUCACAGAGGCACAUGCAAAAUGUCAUGUGCCAUCAAGGCAGAGAUUGCAGUGCUGUAUCUGCAAGCCAAGAAAUGCCGAGGGCGGCUGGCCCUCAGAGGUCGAAGGAGGCAGUGAAGGCUCCUCCCCACCCCAGGCUUCGGAGGGCUCUGCUGACACCUUCAUUUCUGAUUUCUGCCCUCCAGAAAGCUUCUAGAGGUCGCCUGCACUCCUCGGCUCAUGGCCCCCUCCUCCACCCACAAAGCGCAUCACUCCAGCCGCUGCCUCUGUCUCCACAUCACCUUCUUCCCCAAGACUGACUCCUGUGUCCCUCUCAUAAGGACCCUUGUGGUUACAUCAACCCACCAGCUGUCCUAAGGAAAGAGCCAGAUCCCUGAGGCAGCCCAGAGAAGCCAAGUCUAAGGUGUCAAGAGGUCAUGGGCAGAAUCUCCCAAGGCAGCCAGCUGGCCGAGUGACAAAUGACGACAAUCACAGAUUUGUGGAGAGUGCAAGCAUUCUUCAGAAACUCCCAAAAAUACCAGCGAGGGGAAACUGGUAAGUGGACUUCCUCGAGGACUCACGCACAGUGCAGAACAGACCACUGUCCCAUGAGCUUGCAGGGACACAAAGGCCCCUAAACACUGGCCCACACAGCACGGAGUCACACUUGCCCCUCCCUCUUGCCUACGGUCACUCCCCAGCCACAGUUG
rnacentral:lncRNA from 1 species